UACGUAGGCAGCAAGCGUUGUUCGGAGUUACUGGGCGUAAAGGGUGCGUAGGCGGCCCUGUAAGUAUGGUGUGAAAUCUCCCGGCUUAACUGGGAGGGUGCGCUAUAGACUGCGGGGCUCGAGUGUGGGAGAGGAAAGUGGAAUUCCUGGUGUAGCGGUGAAGUGCGUAGAUAUCAGGAGGAACACCGGUGGUGUAAACGGCUUUCUGGACCAUAACUGACGCUGAGGCACGAAAGCGUGGGUAGCAAACAGG
rnacentral:rRNA from 1 species